rnacentral:rRNA from 1 species
UACGGAGGGUGCGAGCGUUGUCCGGAAUCACUGGGCGUAAAGGGCUCGUAGGUGGCCAACUAAGUCGGACGUGAAAUCCCUCGGCUUAACCGGGGAACUGCGUCCGAUACUGGAUGACUUGAGUUCGGGAGAGGGAUGCGGAAUUCCAGGUGUAGCGGUGAAAUGCGUAGAUAUCUGGAGGAACACCGGUGGCGAAGGCGGCAUCCUGGACCGACACUGACGCUGAGGAGCGAAAGCCAGGGGAGCAAACGGG